rnacentral:rRNA from 1 species
AUCGAACGCUGGCGGCAGGCCUAACACAUGCAAGUCGAGCGGAGCGGCGGACGGGUGAGUAAUGCCUAGGAAUCUGCCUGGUAGUGGGGGAUACCGUCCGGAAACGGGCGCUAAUACCGCAUACUAUCAGAUGAGCCUCGGUCGGAGUAGCUAGUUGGUGGGGUAAAGGCCUACCAAGGCGACGAUCCGUAACUGGUCUGAGAGGGUGAUCAGUCACACUGGAACUGAGACACGGUCCAGACUCCUACGGGAGGCAGCAGUGGGGAAUAUUGGGCAAUGGGCGAAAGCCUGAGCCAGCCAUGCCGCGUGUGUGAAGAAGGUCUUCGGAUUGUAAAGCACUUUAAGUUGGGAGGCGGUACCAACAGAAUAAGCACCGGCUAACUUCGUGCCAGCCGCCGCGGUAAUAC